ACAUGAUCUAUAGUUAUGCCUAAACAAUUUUUUGCUCUAUUUAUAGACACUACAUAAAGGGGAAAGCUGCUUAUAGUAAUAUGAGGAUCACUGGUCUCUCAGUAAUUAAAUAGACUUGUUAUACUGCAUUAAUCCUUUUUGGAACAUUUGGAAUGACUUCUUAGCACUAACAGGCACGGUAUUAGGGCCUUCAAUUAAUCUCUCUUUCUCCUUCAACAUUUGUCUAAUACAAAACAGGAACCCGGGAAGCCAUACUUGGAGAUCAGAUCAAAAUUUAAACUGCCACACAGUGCUAUUGAAUACUAUGAGUUGCAGAAUGGGUAGGGGAACGUUCAGAUUAUGGUAAAUAAUGAACUGCGGAGUGUGAAAACCUUAUCUAUCUUGUUUACCAGUUUGCAUUAGGAGGUUCGACAGCAGUCUUAUGGUUCCAAGUGCACCAACGACUGAGGAUGUCGGUGGAACAUAGCUGGAUUCUUACGGACUCUUAGCAUCAAAAUGCUGUCAAUUUAAACUACAAAACACAGCAACUCCAAGAUGCACUCCCCAACACCAUUGACUCCCUCCAAUUGUUUGAGCAAUUUGCCAAGGACACCCCUAUUAUUAGCUAUGCAGGUUCAGAAGCUUCAGCUGCUGCAGAAUUUGGCAGCCAAGUUGCUCAUUGGGUCAAGACGGUUUGAAUACAGUGGUACCUCAGGUUAAGAACUUAAUUCAUUCUGGAGGUCUGUUCUUAACCUGAAACUGUUCUUAACCUGAAGCACCACUUUAGCUAAUGGGGCCUCCCGCUGCUGCUGCGCCACUGCUGCACGAUUUCAUCCUGAAGCAAAGUUCUUAACCCGAGGUACUAUUUCUGGGUUAGCGGAGUCUGUAACCUGAAGCGUCUGUAACCUGAGGUACCACUGUAUAUUGCACCGGUCUGGGCCCAAUUGAAAGUGCUGGUUUUGACUGGUACAGCCUGAAACGGGUCAGGACUGCAGUACUUCAAGGACUUGCUCUCCUCCCUAUAGGAACUGAUGUGGAUCCUGAAAUCAUCUUUUGCAGCUCUUAUUUGUGUGCCUUCUCUAUGAGAAAUCUGGAAGAUGGCUACACAAGUACCGGCCUUUCCUGUGGCUCCUCACUUGUGGGAUGCUCUCCCCAGGAAGGCUCACCUGACGCCUUCAUUACAUAUAUUUAGGUGCCCUGGGAAAAACAAUCCUUUCCUCCCAGGCCUUUGGGGUUUUGCGUUUGGUUUGUUACUACGAUAUGUAUUUUUGUAUUUUUAUGUUGUAAACCUGCCUCUGAUUCUCGAAUGAAGGGCGGUAUAGAAAUUUAAUUAAUAUUAAUAAAAGGGAAAAGGGAAAGGACCCCUGGACAGUUAAGUCCAGUUAAAGGCGACUAUGGGGUGCGGCGCUCAUGUUGCUUUCAGGCUGAAGGAGAAGCCAGUGUUUGUCUGCAGACAGCUUUCCGGGUCAUGUGGCCAGCAUGACUAAACCGCUUCUGGUGCAACGGAACACCGUGACAGAAACCAGAGAGCACGGAAAUGCCGUUUACCUUCCCAAUGCAGCAAUACCUAUUUAUCUACUUGUGCUGGUAUGCUUUCAAACUGCUAGGUUGGCAGGAGCUGGGACAGAGCAAUGGGAGCUCACCCCGUUGCGGGGUUUCGAACCGCCGACCUUCUGAUCAGCAAGCCCAAGAGGCUAGGUGGUUUAGACCACAGCGCUACCUGUGUCCUAUAUUAAUAUUAAUAAUAAUAAGAUGAACAGUAAAAGCAUAAAAACACAGAAAAUGAAAAGUACCUUAAAAAUAAUGCAUUUAAACACCUGGAGGGGAAAAGAAGAUACAAUUGCAUAUUGAAUGUCAGGGUGCAGAAGCAAUAUGCCACUGAGUACCAGCUGGUAGAAAGCAAUGAUGGAUGGAGUCUACUGGCUUCAUGUCUUUUUAGGUGUUCAUUGGCCAGUGUGGGGAAACAGGACGCUAGGCAAGGUUUAGUCAUUUAUUACACUUCACCUUGCCUUUUCUCCAGGUAGCUCCCCCUUGUCUUAUCUUCACAACAACCCUAUGAGGUUGGCAAGGUUGACAUAGAGUGUCCCCCAAUGAGCUUGAUGGGUGGAGCAGGAAUUUGAACCUGGAUCUCCCUGAUGCUAGCCUGACACUCUCAAUCACAACAUUGCACUGGACAUUGGGUCGCUUCUAGCAAGCUGUAUUAUUCUCAGUGAUGCUGGAACUGAUCCGUGAUGUCAUUAUUCCCUGCUGCAUGCACAAGACACACCCUGAAGGACACAAGGAUACCCUCAACAGUGGAAAAAAGACACCGUGGUGAACCCACUGAUUGGUCAGUAGAUGACAUGCUUCAAAAAUCCUUGUGGACAGGCGUUUGCAUCACUUCAUAUUUAAAAUAUCUGCUCUUUUCACUCGUUUACACCUAGGGGACGAAGGAGGGCAAUACAGAAUAGCAGUACUUCCCUUGAAAUGACUCCUGUUUGAGGAACACACAGACCAUUCCCUUGAAUAAAGCAAAACCCGUCUAAGGUGAAGGAACCUUUUGUAAGAAAAAGCUUUUUGCCAGGCAGGAAAAGGGAGGAAACGGUGAGGGAAGCCAUAAUUGCACACUCGCAAGACUGAGCUCCAUCAGCUUAUUCCGUAGACUGACAUGGGUUUGGGAAACAGGAAAUGCAAGUUGAGUUAAACAAUAGUUAGCCUCUGAAACACAUAGUUCAGAUGCUCAGUAGGGAAUGAAUGAGGAAGUAUUCUACCUCCUAGAUGCUUGCCCAGUGCCCUCGUCUCUGCCUCCCCGCCCCCUGUUGUGAGUAGAGAGCCUAAUCGCUUGCAGUGGAGCUGUGCUUCUCAAUUGUUGGUUCUUCUGCAUGCGCCUAGGCUAUGAUCUUGGAAAGCAAAAGAGAUAAUGAGUGUUAGCAGUCGGUAAUUGUUUUAAUAGCGUGCCUGACAUUCACCAACAGUGUCCCUGCAUGUGGGGUCCACAAUGCAGGCUUCCCUUUCUGCAGAGCACAUAUUUGCCCUCUGUUCAAGACUCUGCUACUACUAGUUUGGGACAGAGGAAGGAUUAGUUAGCAAGCAGCUUGUACACAUUGCAUGGGGGCAUGGGAGACAUUUGCAUCAGUCGUAUUUCGAGGCACGAGUUUCCCCUUCCUUGGCAUAACUGUGUUGGAAGUUUUGUCCCUGCAUCUUCAGUUGCAGGAAUGAAGUUGAGGAUCCUGCUGGAUGUGUGGAGUCCUGAGAUGCGUUAUCUGUAUAGUUUGAAGAAUUUGCAACUUUUCCUGAAAGUGAGCAAGUACCGGUAACCAGUGGCAAGAAUCGGGAUUUGUCAUGGCUCCAUCCCCCCUCCCCCGGAAUAUGUUGCUGGUGCGGUGCAAACACAUUCCUCGUUUGACUGACCAGGGACGAUUUAGUAUGAGUUUUACAUAAGCGUGAAAGGAAAUGAACUUUAAUCUGGUGGGUAUAAUGAGAGUUCAAGCAUUUUACAUUUAAAAUCCUCUUCUUUCUUUAUUUGUACUCUCCUUGGUGUCGACAGAUAUCCUUAAAAUCAAGUUGUGACCAUGUAAUUGUUUUGGAUCUUGUUUUAGACAUUGGCAGCAUGUGCGUCUUUCCCCUAAUCAGUUGUAAUGCUGUUCUGUUUUGAACAGUUUGAUACUAUUUUAAAUUUUCAUUUAUAUACGCUACAAGAAUUAUUUUACCAAGUUUUAACAUUUUCAAUUUCGACUCUCCUCCCGCUUUUUCUGCGGUUCCUUGCAUUUAUUUUCGUCCUUUUCUGCAUACUCCAAAUCACCUUAACUUGUUCUUUUAAUCAUCUAUCCUCAUAUAUGUAUCAUAUAUAUACAUUUAAACUGAAGGUUUCUUAUAGUAAUACUGCCAGUGUCUUGAUCUGUUUACAGCUUGUUUGUAAAUACUCAAUAAACCACCUCCUUUCCUUUCUAAAUGUUUGAUACUAUUUUAGGCCAUGUUCCUGGGACCAGUCAGCACAGCCAGAAGCAACGCUGUAAGGGAAUUGACUUGGAUCAUGCAAAUGAGACUACUGAAUAGUAAUAGUUAUGGGCAAUAUUUUGGAAAACACCAAUUUAGUGACAGUUUUAUUGCUGCAAAUGUAUGUAUGAAGUCCCUUGAUUUCAUUGUAAUGCACUGGAAACAGAUGUCAAAGUGUCCCAAACUGAAUUUAAUAGUUAAUCUACAUAUCACAAAGAAACUACAAACAAACCAUUUAGAAUUUGGUUGUUUAAUCCUGUUAGAGGAUCUGAAAAGACACCCCAUAGAGUAAAACCAUUUUAUACUCCUCUUGGCUUUUUUUUAAUGAGAGCAGGACAAGAUGCUCAUGAUAAAUAGUAAUUUAAUUUGUAAGCAUUUUGAAUUCAGACAGUGCAGCAGUUUCCCAUUCAUUGCUUCACUGAAGUCAUGCCUCAGGGCUAAAUCUUUUGUUUUUCAAAAAGAAUAUCGGACAAGAACUGGAGAGGGCAGAUUUAGGGUUAGGAUAUCAUAUCUCAGGACAAGGGUUGGACUUGAUCAUUCACUAGAGUCUCCUUUUAUGGCAUGGCUCAAGCAUCACAUUAAACCAUAGCUAUAGCUCAGAGAAGCUAUGGUUUAAUGUGAAUGUCCAGGGUGCUUGUGCAUGCUGUUGAAAAGUUGUUGCUCUUUUCCUGCUGCUGCUGCUGAAGCACGAAGAAGCAAGCCAUUAUGUCCAAAUCUGGUUUUGUGGUUUAUUUCCCUCAAACAAACUGUAAGCAUCAAGCCUAGAACAAACCUUGAUUUGUCACCGGCGGUUUGUUGUUGAAAGGUGAAAAAACUUCCCCUCUAUUCUCCUUUUCCGGCAUAUAUUGUAUUUUAAGCAUCUACCCAGUGUUAGAAACUGAGAUAUGAAAGUUAGGAGCUAAAUGGCACCUUAAACUUAGGUUACGGGUGCAACAGCGGAAUGUCUAGGUGCACUUUUUUAUAGCAAGAAUACAAAGCUGAAAAUGAAGGAACUGCUGCUAAAAUCUUAUGUUCAUUUUUCACAUGCUCUAGUUGUCAUCUGAAGACUGCAAAAAACAAAACAAAACAAGACUGUUCUUCCCCCUGCCUGGCCCCCUUAUAUUCUUAAGAGGGUCCCUUCUCCAGUCUUCAGAGAGUGGCUGGAAGUGGGGAGGCAGAAAAAGGUCCUCCUUUCCUUCCACUCUGCAGUUUUAAUCUGGAAUCUUACGCCCAGCACUGCGCCCAAAGCUCAGAAACAGCUCGCGCUAAUGAAAGUCCCUGUUGCAAAACGCUCCUAGAACAACAGGAAUUUCGAACGCUGCAUCUACUACUCUGCAGCCAGUUUUCUUUUUGUGGGGAAAAUGAGAUUGUAUUCUAGUGAUCCCUGUUGGUCCUUCCUAUUGGUUAGGCUCUGUUGUAGAGGACCUAUAAUGUUGAGGGUCAUCUGUAGGAUUUUUAAUAGGUGAUUUGGAGAGAAGUCUCAUUUCAAUGGUUUCUUCAAGAAAUGAACGAGUGUGUUAUUGCCGGUGCCACAAAUCUUGGCUUGACUUUGUAGCCGGAUAUUAUUUGUGGAAGCAGCAUCAUCUGUGUGUACCAAAGAACUUGGAGUGGAGAGGAAGGCUGUUUUGCUUCAUGCUGAUUUGGCAGAAGGCUAGAACAGCAAGCUUAUGCAAAAGCACUGUGCAAAACAGAAUGCCCCAGCCCCAGCCUGGCGGGUGCACAGGACCUGAGGGAGGGGUGUAGUCUUGUUCCACCUUGUGCAGAGUUCUGAAUAAAACAACAAAACAAAAAAAACCCUGGUCGAGUCUUUUUCAUCACCUUCUUCUUGUGUUCUGGGAUAUCUGAACUGCUUUCCUUUCCACUGGAUUCCUAUUUAUAAUUUCUAGGCAAGGCCAAAUACAGUGGUACCUCAGGUUAAGAACUUAAUUCGUUCUGGAGGUCCAUUCUUAACCUGAAACUGUUCUUAACCUGAGGUACCACUUUAGCUAAUGGGGCCUACUGCUGCCAACGCGCUGCCACCGUGCAAUUUUUGUUCUCAUCCUGAGGUAAAGUUCUUAACCCAAGGUACUAUUUCUGGGUUAGCGGAGUCUGUAACCUGAAGUGUCUGUAACCCGAGGUACCACUAUAUGGGCAUCUUUCACCCUGUAUAUGGCUCCUUUUUCUUUCUUAUGCAAUACAACCCCAGGUGGUUUACUACACAACGUGCAGUGGUAUAAAUAGGUCCCCCAGCUGCCAAUUUUCUCAACCCCAUUGACCACAUUUACCCCAGCAACUGAGGGACCACUAAUCGGGUUGCUGUGGCUAUCCAAAUGCUCCCACCCACAAACAGUGAGGUCAUUCUUGGUGAUCUCACUGCAACAUGUGCUCUCCAUGAUGAGGACACGAUUAAUCAGAAAGGCGGGUGGGGGGAAAACACAUGCAAAAUUGUCAAACUAAAAGCAAGGUAAAUCGCAAAUCUCUUUUAUCCAAAGUGGAGAGCGAAAUGAAUCUAAGCCCCCCUGAGAUUUGAUUGCAUUCCUCAGGAGAAUGCAUCUCAGAGGACCUGUUUUUAGUGUCGCAUCUCAUGUGACUAAUAUUAUUAGUACCAAAUAUUGUCAGCACUGCAAUAAGUACUAACUGGCUUUCUUAAAAUGUUCCUAUGCAUUUCUUUCAACUGUAAUUUGAAUGCAAAACUUGUAUGGACCUAGGGUGACUUCGGAAUUCACCCAUCUCUAGAGACGGUCAUGUUGACUCAGAAAUACUAUGAGCAACAUGGCCUUAACAAUCCUGGGCUGCAACAAUGCAGAGAGGGAGAAAGAGAUAGACGGACUUCACUCAUUAUUAAGAAGAAUCUCCAGUCCUACUGCUGCAGCUGAGGUUACUGGCAGUGUUCAGGAAGCAAAAGCAUCCAAACCCAAAAUUACAAAUUCAGUGCCAAAUGUUUAAAUUGCUCUGCCUUUUGAAAAGAAUGUUUCUUGGACCACAGUUCUUCGCAUCCUUUAACACGAAUGUUUAGUCUGACUCUGUAGAUCUAAUGGAAAAGGCCCAUUCUCCAAAGUAGUUGACUCACCAGCCAUUGCCCACUUUCCAUUCAAUCAACAGCCAUUGUUCGCUCCCCAUCCGCAGGGGGCUAAGUGAAUUUGAGCCACGCCUCCUGCCCUGAUUGGCUACCACAGUAGCUUGGAGGAACUAGCCAAGAGGAUAAAUUUGGAGCCGGCUAGCAAAGGAACCGACUUGCACAGCAGGCUCUUCUUAUGCUCUUAAGACUCUAAGAGCCGAUAUACAAUGUUUGCUUAAUUAGCAGCAUAAUGUAGUUGUUUCUUAGACAAUUUGAUACAUUUGUAGACGUUCCAGAUUGCACUAUUUAAUUAUUUUACAGAACUGUAUAUACUGCUUAAAAUAGAAUCUCAAAAUGGUACGCCUCCUACAAUAUACAAUCAAUAAAAGCUCAGCAUAUAAUAUUAUUAAUACUACUACUACUACUACUAAUAAUAAUAAUAAUAAUUUAUUAAAAUUGUAUGCUGCCCUAUACCUGCAGGGCCUAAGUAAAUAAUAGUAACAAUAAUAAUAAUUUUUAUUAAAUUUGUAUGUCUCAGGGCAGUUCACAGGGUAAAACCACAACCUAAAAUCAC
rnacentral:lncRNA from 1 species